rnacentral:rRNA from 1 species
UACGUAGGGUGCAAGCGUUGUCCGGAAUUAUUGGGCGUAAAGAGCUCGUAGGCGGUCUGUCGCGUCUGCUGUGAAAACUCGGGGCUUAACCCCGGGCCUGCAGUGGGUACGGGCAGACUAGAGUGCGGUAGGGGAGACUGGAAUUCCUGGUGUAGCGGUGAAAUGCGCAGAUAUCAGGAGGAACACCGGUGGCGAAGGCGGGUCUCUGGGCCGUAACUGACGCUGAGGCGCGAAAGCGUGGGGAGCAAACGGG